AACGAACGCUGGCGGAGUGCUUCAGACAUGCAAGUCGUACGCGAAAGUCUCCUUCGGGAGACGAGUAGAGUGGCGCACGGGUGAGUAACGCGUGGAUAAUCUGCCUUCGGGUUCGGGACAACUCCGGGAAACUGGAGCUAAUACCGGAUAAGACCACAAGGUCCUCGGACCCCGUGGUAAAAGGUGGCCUCUUCUCGAAAGCCAUCGCCCGUCGAUGAGUCCGCGUCCCAUUAGCUAGUUGGUGAGGUAACGGCUCACCAAGGCGACGAUGGGUAGCUGGUCUGAGAGGAUGACCAGUCACACUGGAACUGAGACACGGUCCAGACUCCUACGGGAGGCUG
rnacentral:rRNA from 1 species